CCCAGAAUCAAUGGACUGGAGAUCAAGUAAGAUGGAAGUAGGUGCUGGGGAAGAGAAGUUUGUGACUUAAGGGGGAUUCAAAUCAGAAAGAAUUAUGGACAGUCGUUUGUAUUAGGCAGUCGUUUGUAUGGUCACAGCUUCACGGACACCUGCUGCUGCAACACAGCAUGGCUCGGCUCACCGCUACCACCCCUGCGCUGACUCGGGAGGGCAAAGAUGAACACACGCUGUCCUCCGAAGCGUGUACCGUCGGCUGACAGCUUUUUUUCACACUGCGGACUCCCCAUGCAGCCACCCAAGAGCUACAGCAUCGGAGGACAACGCAGCUCUCGGGCAGCUUACAGGCAAACCUGCAGGCGCCCGGCCAGACUACAGGGGUCGCUGGUGCGCGGUGAGCCGAGGACACCCUUGUCGACCUAACUCUUCCCUCCCCCUGGGCAACGCUCGGACAAUUGAGCUCCGCCCCACUGGGAGCUCCCGUCCACGGUCGAUGUAAAUUAUUUUAAAUUAACAUUGAAUGAUAUAAGAACUAGCUAUGUUGCCAUUUGUAAUUGAUAUUUAGAUUCCCACUUUUAUUUAAUUUCAAAUGUGGUAUUUUAGCUUGUACAGAAAUACAUUUGUGUGACAAGAGUGAAUGAAUCCUAGUCAACAAUCUCCCUCCCGACCUGCGAGGGUGCUGUAUAACAGGAACAGUGUACCCCGUGCUGGAUGGUUUGGCAGCUCGUUCCAGGGUCAGUUGGAAGCCGGCCAUCCAGGAACGGGGCAGAGUCACAAUACCAAAAGUCAUCGCCUUAAUACGUUAGGUGAUGUGUCAGUCAUGGAUUGGAGGAGACAUGAUUGCACUCGCUACCGAAGGGGCUGAGACUAAGGGUAUUUCAGGUGAUGUGACUAAGCGAUCUGGUCCUUUUGUUAUUGUUUUAUGAAAGGACCAGGAAGGAGUAAAAGCAAACCGUGAGUUUACGUGCUGUAUUCUGUCUGUCUAAUAAUUGUUACUUGUUUGUUAUUGUUAGACAGCUAAUCACUGGGAGCUGUCGCUACGAGGCUAGUUCUACACCCGGACAACACAUCCCCACUGUUGUGUAUUAUUUGUGUUUAUUAUUUCAGGACUGUACCCCUUGGUAUUACCUGUGCGAUACACGUUGUGUAGAGCCAGGUACUUGUUGUUUAAGAGUUGCGAGUCUGCAACACGGCCAA